GGGCCUCGGUGCUCGUUACCCCCCCCGACCCGGCGUUCCCCUGUGACCUGGGCGGGGGGGUGGGGGCCCUGCUCCAACGAGACCUGCUGCUGGAGGACCUCCGUCAGGCCGUCCUGCGCUUCAUCUACGCCUACGCCCCAGGGGCCGCCGCCUACAUCGCCGAGGAGUGACCUCCGACCCCCGGGCAGCGGCGGGACGGUAUGUGGGGCGCCCCCCCAGGCGGACUCCAACCGACGCCGAGUUCAGGAAACUGCAAUGAAAUGACGAGAUCUGGUUAGAGAAACUACGUUUUCCCAUUCAGGUGGUGCUUCAGGAAUAGAUCUACCCAUGUGUUCAGUUUGAUUUGUAGCAUGGUCAAAGGCACUGCACACGCUACUGUUGUGAAUGCAAUGCGUAAACUGUCUGGAACCUCAACUCUGUCUUUGGAUCGAUCCCUCUAAAAUCAAAGCGAAGAGUGAAUAAAAGUAUUUGGUGCUUCCGAGUAAAAAGUAAGCGCCGUUAUUCUAAUGCUUACAUAGCUGGUAUUUCAGAUAAUCACAGUCUCACCACAGUAAAUCUGAUGGGUAAACGGCUUAAUGUGAAAUCAUCACUAAUACAGCAUCACUCGUAGAAGACGUCCACUAACUAACCCCUCAAGGCCCAACAUAAAGGCCUAACUCAAAGACCUGCAUUUUCC
ensembl:lncRNA